rnacentral:rRNA from 1 species
UACAGAGGGUGCGAGCGUUGUCCGGAAUCACUGGGCGUAAAGGGUGCGCAGGCGGCCAAAUGUGUGAGGCGUGAAAGCCCGGGGCUUAACCCCGGAAUUGCACCUCAAACUAUUUGGCUAGAGCAUUGGAGAGGGAAGCGGAAUUCACGGUGUAGCAGUGAAAUGCGUAGAUAUCGAGAGGAAUACCAACGGCGAAGGCAGGUCACUGGGCAGUUACCGACACUGAGGCACGAAGGCCAGGGGAGCAAACGGG